GAAACACUUGCUUUUGAUGGUUCAUUAUUUAUUUUGAACUAGACAAUAUAAGGAGGUGAUCCCUUCACUCUUUUUGCUCAUGUAAGUAUAAAAUAAGAAACGAAAACAACUUUUUUAAUGAACAGAAGCUUCCCUCUCAUAGUUAGACCCUAUAGGAACUGGGAAAAUUGGCCUUUGACAAGUCCAAGCUUCCCUCUUAUAGUUAGACCCCAUAGGAACUGGGAAAAUUGGCCUUUGACAAGUCCAAGCUUCCCUCUUAUAGUUAGACCCCAUAGGAACUGGGAAAAUUGGCCUUAGACAAGUCCAAUGUAAUCCCCCAGGCAGAGAAACGAUGUAUUUUCUUACUUCCACAACUCUAUCUAUACCGUCCAGGAUGGAUUUUGUUGUCUUCUUCCUUUCGGAUAGUAGCCCUUUGUCGUUGGAGGUGCUACCAUUGCUGCUGUUGACGAUUGUUCCUCGAGAGUCCACCAGCAUUCGUUCAUCGGAUUUCUGGAUGCGUAAGACGAAGCUAAGAGACCCAUUCUACCAAUCAAGUGCAAUAGUAGGCAACCGCGUAUCAUUUAAGCCGGAGAAUUUGAUUCACCGAUUAAGUCUGUCUCUGGGAAGCAAGUAGCAUAUAUAUAGAAUUAAUAAAGCGAUUAGGGAGAUAAAAUAAAACUUUCAACUUCGACAUGAAUUUAACUCUGCUGUAAUCUAGGGGUUACUCCUGUCCUUUAGGCUCUUGGAUAUUUCAAUCUUUUGCGAAUUAAAGGGAAUAAAAGUUUAAAAUGAGACCUAAUCAUAUUGCACAGUACAACAGAAUAGAAAACUUAUGAUAGAGUCGCAUAUACUCUAAUGUAACUAAUUUAAAUAUGUUAUCUAAUUUUGAAUCACUUCUAAACUAUGUUCUGCUAUCUCAAACACCAAAUAAAAAUUCAAAUAUUGAAUACACAAUCACAUAAACAAUCAAUCACUUUCAAUUGUAGGCUGCAACAUUACACCACCACGGCAGAAAAAGGACAGUUGACCUAAAUUAUCAAAAUGGUAGAAUGUUAUUCACAAACAUACUACACAAAUGGAAGGUCCAUGGAGGCAAUCCAUUCAAGUACCAAACCCUAGCACAUAAAAUCAAAGUUGUACAAAAAUUAAAACGUCUAACAUACUAAGCAUAUGGUAAAACCAUAUUAAGCUCAAACAACUAAUUGAUACUCCAUUACAGAAGAUGGCACUGAAAGACAACAACAAAUUAGGAAAUUAGGUUUUUUCAGUGUUCUUCUCAAGUUCCCUCCUCAGCUGCAGCGAGAA
rnacentral:misc_RNA from 1 species